UGCAUCAUUGCCUUAAUGGCCGUUCUUUUCUUUUUCUUCCAAUGCUGUUGCAGGCAACAGGAUGACUAUCAGAUCGUCAGGAAGCUGGGAAGGGGGAAGUACAGUGAGGUCUUUGAGGCAGUUAAUAUCACCAGCAAUGAAAAGUGUGUGAUCAAAAUCUUGAAGCCUGUAAAAAAGAAGAAGAUCAAGAGAGAAAUCAAGAUCCUGGAAAACCUAAGAGGAGGCCCUAACAUCAUAGCACUACAAGCCAUUGUCAAAGAUCCAGUGUCCCGGACGCCAGCUCUUAUAUUCGAGUAUGUCAACAACACAGAUUUCAAGCAACUUUACCAAACGUUAAAAGACUAUGAAAUCAGGUACUACCUGUUUGAACUUCUAAAGGCUUUAGAUUACAGUCACAGUAUGGGUAUCAUGCAUCGUGAUGUCAAACCACACAACGUCAUGAUAGAUCAUGAAAACAGACGGCUACGUUUGAUAGACUGGGGUUUAGCAGAAUUCUACCAUCCUGGCCAAGAGUACAAUGUCAGAGUAGCAUCAAGAUAUUUCAAAGGUCCAGAACUCCUAGUCGACUACCAGCUGUACGACUACUCACUAGACAUGUGGAGUCUGGGCUGUAUGCUAGCGAGUAUGAUAUUCCGCAAGGAACCUUUCUUCCACGGCCACGACAACUAUGACCAACUUGUGAGGAUUACCAAAGUCCUUGGCACAGACGAGCUCUAUGAGUACCUGGACAAGUAUCAGAUUGAACUGGAUCCGAGGUUCAAUGAUAUCUUAGGAAGGCAUUCACAUAAACGAUGGGAACGGUUUGUCCAUAGUGAAAACCAGCAUCUAGUCAGUCCAGAGGCUCUUGAUUUCCUGGACAAAUUAUUACGUUAUGACCACCAGGAGAGACACACUGCAAGGGAAGCCAUGGAACACCCAUACUUUUACCCAGUUGUGAAGGAACAGAACAGAUCGAUGCCACCAGUCAUGAGUACGCAACCCAACACCUCAACUAGCGCCACAAAUUCAAGCAGCGCAUCAUCUGCUCGUAAAGGUAAAGGAGAGGCCUUUAUUCCAUAAAAGCCUAUUGUUUAUAUUUGGGAGCCAGUACAAUUCAUCCAACUUAUACCCACGAUCGACACGAAAGCACGGCCGUCCGGCACCAUCCCUGGAGCCCCCUUGAUUCCGACACCCACAGCCCAGACUGUCUCACCGAUACCCAACCCCAGCCCAGCAGCAGCAGUAGCACCAUAGAUGCAGUAUCCUCUGGACAGUGGUUUAACCAAAACAUAGAGAAGGUGUUGGGGAGGGAGGGGGAGGAGGCAAGAUGGUGCUAGGUUGUGGGUCAACACUGAUACUUAUGUCUUGUUUUGGAGCUCAUUUUGACAGCUCCUGUUAUUGCUAUGUUUUCUACGGGAAAAUGUAAGGAUGGUUCUCUUACCCUAGUAUCUCUGUUGCACGAUCAGCAUUAUGGUUAUAGAAGAUGAGGUCCUCCAUUCCCAUCACGAUCCCUUCCCAACAUUUGUUCCACGCUGAAAUUUUAAAAGAUCCAUUCUUUUGGCUACACCACUUCACAAUUGUUUCCAUCAUUGUACACCCUUCCUUGCUUUUGCAAAGAAAACACUUAAAUUUAGAUCAAGAAUCCUUGAAGAAUACAGUUUACAUUUUUGUGUCUUUGAGAGUUGUUUGAUCUGCCAUGCCAAACAGCCUGGCCUGGGUUAUAUUCUGGGAUUCCUGAUUUUGACACAAGAGAACAACAAGCAUUGACAAGGACAGCGCUCUCUACAUUGUUUCUCUUGAGUUUAUAGCAAGAGGGCAUUACCAAUAUUUUUCUCUAAAAGUAGAGUAGAGUAGCAAGUGGGUUACAUGCACUUGUAGAGCAACUACAAAACCCAAGCAAAUGAUUUGGUGAUUUUGAAUGUGAAUAGUCUGUGUCGAGAUAGGAAUCAAGUUUGUCCCUUCCUUUUUCAAUGUAUAUGGUGUGUAAGAAAUUAACAAGUUAUAUUUUAGAAUGAAAAGGAUAGGAGAUAAAACAAUGUAAAAGUUGUCGAUUGGUGGCAGUUUUCAUUGAAAUCAAUGAUGCCCAUGGCAAGCUGUAAUUGCCUUGUAUAGUAGCAUUUAAAAUGGGCAUGACUGAUUUUAUACUAUUUCAUUGACAGGCUGUGAGGCCUUUAACUUUGUUGUAUGAUUUUAAUGAAAAUUUUGAGGCAAGUUUUAAGUUAUGAUAUAAAGUUUGGGUUGUAUUUUAUCAUGAAUUUCCUCGAUACAGAAAAUGGAAAUCUGUUCUUUUUUUUUUAUAUGACUUGUUCGUAUGUUUGUAUGUCUGAAUGUAGUGUGGGUACUGACUUCAUACCAAAUAUUGAGUACCGAAUGUCAAGCUUACAAUGGUUUAAAAAAAACCUGCAACAAAUUGGCGAAAGUUCAGUAACCGUUCAAACUUUCAGUCUAAGAAUCUUUUAUAAUAUACCAAUAUAUAUUACAGUGAUGUUGAUAUAGGUAUUUGCUCAGACAGAUCACAAAAAGUUGGGAUUGAUGUAAGGGGAUGGCAGCAGAUACUCGGUCUAUAUCCAUUACAUAUGGUCUAGAAGCAUUUGUCUUCUUUUCAAAUAGUCCUGAUACCUUAUGUGCUGAACUCAUUUGGUUUCAUCAUUCUUGGUCUAAUUGUCAUUUAGUCUAAUGCCCACAUUGUCUUAUUUCCACCAUGUCUACAAAUUAUUUUGCACUUAGUGAAAUGAAAAUUGGAUUCAUACACUGUUCAUCUAAGCAUAUAGAAUUAGUGGUGUUAAAGCUAGUGAAUAUCAGACAAAAAGGGUAUAAUACAUGUACCCUAACUUGAAAUUAGACGAUAUGGUAAAUGGACUAAAGUGACAAUUACCGGUAGACCAAAUGUUUUGUAGGCAAACUUGGAAUAGACAACUCCAGUUUAUACCAAGUGCCAAUUUACCAGAUCUUCAUGGGUUGUGUUGUAGGGAGGAGUAGUUUUGAUAACCUUGCACUGAGUGGAAGAGUAAAGGGAAAGUGGGCUAGGGGUAUGGCUACUGAGUUCUAUAGCUUAUGUGGCCUUUGAACAGGAACCACUGGGUUUCAGUUGCCAAUGGGUUAAUCUGUUGAUGACUGAAUACAUAGGCUCUGUACAGGGUCCAUAUCUAGAAACAGAUAAAUGAAUAGGAUUGCUGAAAGUAGAAUUGCUCUUGGGGAGCUGUAGACCUCUUUGGUUGCCAUUGUAAGAGUACCUCUUAUGACAACUUGUGAUAUGAACACCAUCUUUUGUCCAUGAUUGCACAAUAUGUCUAUUCAAGUCGAGCAACAUAUUGAUAAAAAAAACUUUCCAGGGCUACAUUUGAUCUCACCAGCCAAAAUUUGCUACAUUUAUUACAGUUUACAUUUGAAAUUAUGAUAACUUCAGGGAUUCUUAUAGUUUCCUUGCGGACAAUAGACUACACAACAUAUCUUAUUCACUAUCAAUGCUUGUCUGUAUUAGAGAAGGAUUCUAAUGUCAUUACUGUGUCGAGAAAAGACAGCACCCUGUCGCUUCUUUUCUAUGAAGAGUUUCUCAAGCCAGUGUAAUACAGCAGUAACACCAACGAAACUGACUCCAGACUGAUUGAUGGUAUGUUAUUGGAAAUGACAUUAGUCAGUCUGGAGCAUAACAGUAUUGACAGCAGGGAAGAAUUGCACGGGGGCUCCGGGCAAUUUCAACCCCUAAGUGCUCAAAAGAGCCAUGGAAAAUCUUCAUUCAUUGUAGCGUUAAAGCUUCCCCAAUUUUGCAGAUUUGCCCAAAAAGCUUGUGAAAAGUAGCACCCGAAAAUAAUAAUAAUCAUCAAUUUUUUUGCCUGACAGAGAUGUUGUCAUGGACCAGGGGGAAAUAAUCAUGCAAAAUAUGUGUUGGUUUUAUAAAUUGAUGGCAUUCCAUGUGAAAGAUGUAUUUAGCUCAACUUGGAAAGUCUGCAGAUGGUUAUUCCCAAUUCAUAGAUUUUGUUUUAAUAAUGCAUAGAGCUUGAUAGUGGCCUAUUUUUGGAAGGCCGGGGCUUUUGUUUGUGGUUAGACAAAGAAGGAAGCUAUUGAUUUUUAUUAUGGUAACUUAUUUUCACAAACUUAGCUACACUCCUGCCUUUUACAGUGGCAUUUUUAUACAUAUUAAUCUUCUCCUGUUGAAAAUUUAUUAUAACCCCUAAGAAAAUUCAUUUUGUUACAGUGUUCUACAUAGGUGGUCAUUAUAGAAUUUCAUUACAGAAGCUGCUAUUGUGACUGGAAUGAAUACAGUUUAUUUAAACAAGUGAAUUCCAUCACAUUUUUUUAGAUCAUUAAUGCUAAAAAUUGUGAAACCUCGCUAAAAUUCGGUACAAAUCUAUUAAGCGAUAAUGUUAGAGAUUUUUCAUGAGCCAUUACAUGCUAUUUUUUUUCAGGCUAUGUUAACCGUUUAAACCCCCCCCCCCCCCAAAAAAAAAAAAAGUUAACUUGGUUUGAUUUAAUGUGGUGUAUACUUCCUCAUAUGGAGGACAAAUCUCCAUUUGUUACGCAGCCAGUCGGGUAUAUGUGUCAUUGUGAGAUUUUUAUUAUACUAUGUAUUUAUGAAUCAAACCAUCAUUUUGGGGACAUGUACAGAUGAACUGAAUUUUGUAGAAAUCUAAGAUUGUAUAUUUUGUACCACUUUUUCUUCUUUUUUGUUGGUUUAAUUUAAACAUGUCUGCUUAUGGUUUGAGAUUUUCAGUAUUCUCUAAUAUACUCUAAAAGAUGUCUACAACUAUUUCAAAGAGAAAUUUCACCUUGUGUGAGGGCUGAACUCUAAACCAUUUCAAACUAUUUCAAAGAGGAGAUCUCAAGAUUCUGCCAUUCGUGAGGUUGAUAUUUUUGUCAGUGCAGUUCAUUUCAAUGAGAAUUCCUCAUUUGCAUUUCAAGAAGCUUUGAACGUUUCUACAAGAAUGGGUUAUAAAACUGCCUUUGAUUUGAAACUUUAAUAAUGAGUUCUCUCCUAGGUGUGAUAUCUUAUAAGCGAUCUACUAUUCAUCAUUCAUCUUUUUUUUUUUUCUUCUUUUUUUUUUUAGCAGUCCUUGUUUUAUGUUGCAUUUUUUUAGUGGAGAGAGGGUCAUAUUUAUUGUUGCCUGUCUCCAAAAACUUCUUUAAAAAAAAUGCAACCUGAUACUCUUAACUGAAAACACUUCAGUUAAAAAAAAAAUAAAAAUAAAGUUUACAAUUAAUCUUUAGAAAAAAUAACAAACCUACCCUUCACGCAUUGAUGGAUUUAUUAAGCAUUACAGGUUUCCAGUUUGUUUGAGUGCAUAAAUAACUUUACACACUGUAGCGAAAUGUUAUAAAUUCCUGCUAAUUUAUUUCGGGAUUGGUGGGGGUGGGAGGAUGAUCAUUUCUCAAUGCUUUUGUUAGAGGAACCUUUGCCUGAUACUAAACAGUGGUGCUAAAAAUAGUGAACCUCACCAGAAAAUGAACAUAUUUAAAAGUGUUCAAGUUCUGCCAUGUUAUAGACUGUUAGGUGAUAAAAUACUACAUUCAAUAAAGUUUGUUUCUCUGAGCUUGCCCGACAUUGUAGUGUUGUCCACAUUCAACACUCAGUAUGAAGGAAUGCAUUUUGUGGUGGGGUUUACUAACUUUUUAGCACUACUGUAUAGUCUACUGUGUAGUCUACUAUUUUUGGCAUUCUUGUAGGAUUUUUAUAAGUGGAAUUUCUUUUAAGAAAUUCUGUAUAACAUGGUGAGCUUGAAUUAUUACCUCUUUGUUUUUUUGUUGUCAGUAUUCACUGAUUAUAUUCUGGCUUGGAUAAAAAAAAUAUUGAGAUGCAAAAAAAUGAUAGAUCCACCUUUCUUCCUAGUAACACAAACAUGGACCACAUUGUAUAGCUGCUUAAUCAGAUUCUGAAAAAUGAUGAAUGUAGCUUGAAUGUAUCAUUUUCUCUACUUCAGAAUUGUCUUAGAAAAAUAAAAUGAAAAUUCAAAAUUGUGUUCUUCCUAGCUACAAAAGUGGACCACAAUGUAUAGAAGUUAACCCAGAUGAUAAAAGGUGAAUGUACUCUGGAAUUGAAUAUGAGUUUCCAUUACUUUGGAAUCCCUUUUUUAUAAUUAUAUUUGUGAUACAGUACUGUGAUUAUCAGUGUGUCCCCUAUGUUUUAUUAUGCAGGAUUUCAAGACAGUGCCCAUUUAAUGGGAAGAUAGAAACAUUUUCUUUUUAUUUAGCAUGAGAGAAAUUAAAUACUCGUAUAUUUCAUAGACAGAGAUAAUACAUAGAGAAAAUUUUUAUUUUAUCCCUUCACUAAAGAGACUAAAAAACCUUGACUGUUGCUAGUAAAAUCCCAAAGCAAGAUGUGAAUUUUUGGUAGUUUCUGUCAUUUUAUUUAUACUGUUGGCCCAUUCCUAGGUUGUUUAUAAUGGAUAUGAGAUGUGAAAUUUAGAUGGAUAUUGGAAAUUACGAGCACUGCACUGUUUGUAGGGCGAGACUUUCUUAUAGUUUGAAUUGUUAGUGAUGCUGCAUUCUGUAGUAUAUGCAUUUUAUUAAUUGCUACCAAUGGCAAAUUAAAAGCAAGCGAGGGCAGCAGACUACCAGUGCUAUAGUAUACAGCAAAUGUAAUUUAUAGCUACAGUAAGAAAACUUGUCAGGGGAAUAUAGACUUCCCUUAUUUUCUGUGAAUACCUUUUGAUUACUUGUAAAUUUAACCCUUUUUUCAAAUCAUCAUGUAGAGCUCUUGUAAACCUGACAUGUAUUACAUUUCUUUUUCUUUUUUUUCAUUCAAUAUUUGGAGGAAAUGGUUUCCUCUGUAAUGUUCUUUUGUGAUUUGGUUAGUUUUGAAAACACCAAAUAUAUACUAAUGUCCACCGUUUGUGAGGUGUGCAUAGGAAAGUGAUUUUAUUUCAGUAUUUUUUAUGGUUAACACUGAGUGUCAAAGUAAAGUGUCACAUGGGUCGAUUGAGAUACCUACUUUUCUUUCCCCUACUCAUUUGAUGGUACAUAAACAUGAUAAUGAAUAAUAAAUAUUGAAAAUUAUUGUUGUCAACACUACAAA